AUUGAACGCUGGCGGCAGGCCUAACACAUGCAAGUCGAACGAGUGGCGGACGGGUGAGUAAUGUCUGGGAAACUGCCCGAUGGAGGGGGAUAACUACUGGAAACGGUAGCUAAUACCGCAUACCAUCGGAUGUGCCCAGAUGGGAUUAGCUAGUAGGUGGGGUAACGGCGCACCUAGGCCACGAUCCCUAGCUGGUCUGAGAGGAUGACGAGACACACUGGAACUAGGACACGGGCCAGACUCAUACGGGGGGCAGCAGUGGGGAGUAUUGGACAAUGGGCGCAAGCCGGAUGCAGCCAGGCCGCGUGUAUGAAGAAGGCCUUAGGGUUGGAAAGUACUUUCAGCGAGGAGGCGUUACUCGCAGAAGAAGCACCGGCUAACUCCGUGCCAGCAGCCGCGGUAAUAC
rnacentral:rRNA from 1 species